UACGAAGGGGGCGAGCGUUGUUCGGAAUUACUGGGCGUAAAGGGCGCGCAGGCGGCUGGAUAAGUCAGCUGUGAAAACCACGGGCUUAACUCGUGGCCUGCAGUUGAGACUGUCUGGCUUGAGUGUGGGAGAGGAGAGUGGAAUUCCUGGUGUAGCGGUGAAAUGCGUAGAUAUCUGGAGGAACACCGGUGGCGAAGGCGGCAUCCUGGACCGAUACUGACGCUGAGGAGCGAAAGCGUGGGGAGCGAAACAGG
rnacentral:rRNA from 1 species